UAUCGCCUGGGGUGUGCGCUUUGCGCGUCGGUAAUUCUUGAGCCGAUAAGCACCACCCGGGACCUUAUAUACCAGCGCUGUGUGCAUGUCCGUGCGUCGGAAAGCCUGAUGUGCUGGUUGCUGGACCCACUUGAACCAAGGGUUCAAGGUAACGGCGCCGGCGGCACUCCGGGUGGUAC
rnacentral:other from 1 species